CUUGAGUGUCCCAAACCUUUUGUCUUGUCCUAAGAUGAGCUCAAUGAGAACAGAAUCUUUGUGUGGAACAAAAGGGUAAAAUCUCAUUUGAUCAGUACGGUGAAAGCAUGGCCUAUCGAUCCUUUAGUGUUUCCAAAUUUGAAGCUAGAGGUGUCAGAAAAG
rnacentral:rRNA from 1 species